UACGAAGGGGGCUAGCGUUGUUCGGAAUUACUGGGCGUAAAGGGCGCGUAGGCGGCGUGUCAAGUCAGGCGUGAAAGCCCCGGGCUCAACCUGGGAACCGCGCUUGAGACUGGCAUGCUCGAGUUCGGGAGAGGAUGGUGGAAUUCCCAGUGUAGAGGUGAAAUUCGUAUAUAUUGGGAAGAACACCGAUGGCGAAGGCAGCCAUCUGGACCGACACUGACGCUGAGGCGCGAAAGCGUGGGGAGCAAACAGG
rnacentral:rRNA from 1 species